CCAGACUCCUACGGGAGGCAGCAGUGGGGAAUAUUGCACAAUGGGGGAAACCCUGAUGCAGCGACGCCGCGUGAGCGAAGAAGUAUUUCGGUAUGUAAAGCUCUAUCAGCAGGGAAGAAAAAAAUGACGGUACCUGACUAAGAAGCCCCGGCUAACUACGUGCCAGCAGCCGCGGUAAUACGUAGGGGGCAAGCGUUAUCCGGAUUUACUGGGUGUAAAGGGAGCGUAGACGGCGAUGCAAGUCUGAAGUGAAAGGCGGGGGCCCAACCCCCGGACUGCUUUGGAAACUGUAUGGCUGGAGUGCGGGAGGGGCAGGCGGAAUUCCUGGUGUAGCGGUGAAAUGCGUAGAUAUCAGGAGGAACACCGGCGGCGAAGGCGGCCUGCUGGACCGCGACUGACGUUGAGGCCCGAAAGCGUGGGGAGCGAACAGGAUUAGAUACCCCAGUACUA
rnacentral:rRNA from 1 species